UACGUAUGGGGCAAGCGUUAUCCGGAUUUACUGGGUGUAAAGGGAGCGCAGGCGGCCUGGCAAGCCUGAUGUGAAAUACCGGGGCCCAACCCCGGGGCUGCAUUGGGAACUGCCAGGCUGAAGUGCCGGAGAGGCAGGCGGAAUUCCUAGUGUAGCGGUGAAAUGCGUAGAUAUUAGGAGGAACACCAGUGGCGAAGGCGGCCUGCUGGACGGUGACUGACGCUGAGGCUCGAAAGCGUGGGGAGCAAACAGG
rnacentral:rRNA from 1 species